GAUCAUGGCUCAGAUUGAACGCUGGCGGCAGGCUUAACACAUGCAAGUCGAGCGGAGAUGAGGUGUUUGCACCUUAUCUUAGCGGCGGACGGGUGAGUAAUGCUUAGGAAUCUGCCUAUUAGUGGGGGACAACAUUCCGAAAGGAAUGCUAAUACCGCAUACGUCCCACGGGAGAAAGCAGGGGAUCUUCGGACCUUGCGCUAAUAGAUGAGCCUAAGUCGGAUUAGCUAGUUGG
rnacentral:rRNA from 1 species